rnacentral:rRNA from 1 species
AGUAGUUUGAUCAGUGGCUACGAGGACGAACGCUGGCGGCGUGCUUAACACAUGCAAGUCGAACGGUGAACCAGAGCUUGCUCUGGGAAUCAGUGGCGAACGGGUGAGUAACACGUGGGCAACCUGCCCCAGACUCUGGGAUAACCUCGGGAAACCGAUGCUAAUACCGGAUACGACCACUUCGGACAUCCGACGGUGGUGGAAAGUUUUUCGGUCUGGGAUGGGCCCGCGGCCUAUCAGCUAGUUGGUGGGGUAAUGGCCUACCAAGGCGACGACGGGUAGCCGGCCUGAGAGGGCGACCGGCCACACUGGAACUGAGACACGGUCCAGACUCCUACGGGAGGCAGCAGUGGGGAAUAUUGCACAAUGGGCGAAAGCCUGAUGCAGCGACGCCGCGUGAGGGACGACGGCCUUCGGGUUGUAAACCUCUUUCAGCAGGGACGAAGCGAAAGUGACUGUACCUGCAGAAGAAGCACCGGCUAACUACGUG